rnacentral:lncRNA from 1 species
ACACCAGUUAGAAUGGCAAUCAUUAAAAAGUCAGGAAACAACAGAUGCUGGAGAGGAUCUGGAGAAAUAGAGACACUUUUACACUGUUGGGGAGUGUAAACUAGUUGAACCAUUGUGGAAGACAGUGUGGUGAUUCCUCCAGGAUUUAGAACUAGAAAUACCAUUCAACCCAGCAAUCCCAUUACUGGAUAUAUACCCAAAGGAUUAUAAAUCAUUCUACUAUAAAGACAAAUACACACGUGUGUUUAUUGCAG